rnacentral:rRNA from 1 species
CAGUAGAGAAUCUUGUGCAAUAUACGAAAGUAUGACACAGAGAGGACACAUUUAAUUGAGCCCGUCAAAUUAAGUGCCAGCCGACGCGGUUAGACUUAAGGGCUAGUCUUUAUAAGUAAAAGGGCGUAAAGGAUGUGUAGGCCAAGAAAUUAUCUAAGGAGGUAAAUGGAAUUUUUCUGGAGCGGUAGAAUGUGAGGAUAGAAAAUAGAACUCCCAAGGUUAAAACUAUUUACCACAAGGUAGGCUGAAACAUGAGAGUGUGGGGAGCAAACAGGAUUAGAGACCCUGGUAGUCCACACUGUGAACUUUGAAGAUGAUGCUUAGCAGACCCGAAAGGUAGAAUCUUCCGCCUGAGUAGUACGAUCGCAAGAUUAAAAUUCAAAAACUUUGGCUGUUCACUAUUUCGAUUAGAGGAGCGUGUCGUUUAAUUCGAUGGUCCGCGUGUUACCUCACCCCAACUUGAAUCUGUGACCGGUAUUGCAUGGCCGUCGUAAGUCCGUGUGUUAAGCUAAAAGGGACCCAGCCCGGGCGCACGCCCGGAGGAAGUCAGGUCUUAUGAUCCGAAUGUUGGGGGGUUUUAUGCGCUACAUUUUCUUAUAUAAUGGGAGACCUAGAAGGUGAAACCCUAAAGUAAGAGUUCGGAAGGUCGCUGUAAAAUGACUGGAAGUUGGAUUUAAUAGUAAUCGGAAAGUAGGGCGUUCCGGUGAAUUGGUACAAGUGUUAGCACAAAUUGCCCGUCACCUUUACCUAGGAUGGUUAUCCGGACGCCUUCGGUGAUUACGGGUGCCUACGAGGUAAAGCAAGUCGUAAC